GAUUUUUUUUUCAAAUAUUUGCCAAAAGAAACAUUUUCCGAAAAAAAACCAAUCCAUAUAAUAACGUUUUGUCCUUUAAAUCUUUUUUUGGGGGUCCGUAGAAAUACCGCAAAAGACCCCUUUAGUGCAAAGAACAAAAAAUUGCACUAAGGACCUGAUGGAAUGAUAAAAUUGACACAAAGGACAUUGCAUAUCUAAGUUAACGUUUUAGAAAUAAAUAAUUUCAAGUUUUAUAAUCAUAUCUUAAGUAAUUAGAAAGUUAUUUAAUGUUCUAUCGAACGCGCCACACUCAGUUGAUUGUAAUCUAUAGAAAUUCAUGUUCGUUCAACC
rnacentral:lncRNA from 1 species